GGACUCUCCUGAUUUCUUGUUCCUGUUCUAAAAGCAGCAAAUUAUUUCCUGACAGACCCUCCUCCUUGCAGUAAGUUGCCAAACUCAGCCAACAACUCAGCCAACAACAACAAAAACACACUGGUGUCAUUGGACUGUUUAUUAUCAAAUAGCAAGAAAAAAAUUAUGGAUCUAUCUACAGUUUUCAUUCUAUGGCCCUACUGGAUAAAUUUCAAGGUGACAGAUGUGAGACACAAACAAAUUUUCCUUUUGAUGACAAGAGUUGUACCUGUUUGGCCAUUAAAUGACCAUUUAAAUCACCAUUAAACGCCCACCUCCAUCAUCAUCAUCAGUUGCACUUAUGUUUAUGAAAGCCAUGGAUUGGUGAGCACAUCAGCUCAAGCUCGCCUAGCUGUCAUCGGUCAAUAAUCCAUAAAGGAGAAGGAAAAAUUUCCUCCAGAAUCAAAACCCAUGCCUGGCUCUUUGAUUGAAAGUACCAUACAACAAUUCAUUUUUAAGUUUUUUUUUUUAAUUCUCCGAAGCACUCUGUCUCAGAUUGCAAGUACUUUGGUUGCAAGCACUACCAGGUGACUUUGGCAAAAUUAAGCUAAAAUAUAUUUAAUGGGUGCACAUGAGGUAGCUCAGAGGGUUUAAAUGAGGGCUAAAGAACUAAACUUGAAACAGAUAUGAAAAGGAAGCUGUAGAGACUCAGUGGCACUGAUUGUUAGGUUGUUUCUACAUUGCUAAGAUGAAUAAACAAAUUCCAAAUUUUCUCUUGUCUUAGUCACUCCU
rnacentral:lncRNA from 1 species